CCCUCAUAAAAUAUACAAAUAAGACCUUAAAAGAAUGGGCUAGCAGGGAGAUUUCCUGGAUAGGGUGAAUAAACACUAUUCGCUCAUACAUUUUGCCCAAAUGGAAUUAUCUUUUUAGAAUGCUACUGUUACUUCCUGUGAUACCAUCAGUACUUCCUGCCGGCCCAAAGAAGAUGUACCUGUGGAUUGUGCCAUUGCUUCUAAUGGCACUACAGUCCGUACAGAAGAUCUUGAAAUGUUCGAAAAAGCAUUGUUAGCC